rnacentral:rRNA from 1 species
UACGUAGGGUGCAAGCGUUGUCCGGAAUUAUUGGGCGUAAAGAGCUCGUAGGCGGUUUGUUGCGUCGGCUGUGAAAUCCCGAGGCUCAACCUCGGGUCUGCAGUCGAUACGAGCAAUCUAGAGUGUUGCAGGGGAGACUGGAAUUCCUGGUGUAGCGGUGAAAUGCGCAGAUAUCAGGAGGAACACCGGUGGCGAAGGCGGGUCUCUGGGCAACAACUGACGCUGAGGAGCGAAAGCGUGGGGAGCGAACAGG